GUCUAUGGCCAUGCCACCCUGAACAAGCCUGAUGUGUGAUCUCAGAAGCUAAGCAGGGUCGGGCGUGGUUAGUACUUGAAUGGGAGACCACCUAGGAAGACCAGGUGCUGUAGGCA
rfam:Pteropus alecto contig110760, whole genome shotgun sequence.